GGUUCGGUCUGUAGCUCAGAUUGAACAUUGGCGGGAUCGCUUUACACAUGCAAGUCGAACGGCGAACGGACUCGGUCUGGUGGCGAGUGCUGAGCAGGUGAGUAAUGUAUCGGAACGUGCCUGGUAGCGGGGGAUAACUACGCGAAGCGCAGUACAGCUAAUACCGCAUACGCCCUUCGGGGGAAAGCGGGGACCUUCCGGGCCUCGCACUAUUAGAGCGGCCGAUAUCGAAGUUGUGCUCGGAUUGUUGGCGUGCGCGUCACCAAGGCGACGAUCCGUAGCUGGUUUGAAGGACGACCAGCCACACUGGGACUGAGACGCGGCCCAGACUCUACGGGAGGCAGCAAUUGAGGAAUUUUGGACAAUGGAAACCACCAGUCCAGCCAUCCCGCGUGUGCGAUGAAGGCCUUCGGGUUGUAAAGCACUUGGCAGAAGAAACGGCACAGGAUAAUACCCCGUGCAACUGACGGUACCUGCAGAAUAAGCACCGGUACUAACUACGUGCCAGCAGCCGCGGUAAUACGUAAGUGCAAGCGUUAAUCGGAAUUACUGGGCGUAAAGCGUGCGCAGGCGGUUCGGAAGAAGAUUCUUGAAAUCCCAGAGCUUAACUUUGGAACUGCAUUUUUUAACUACCGAGCUAGAGAGUGUGUCAGGGAGGUGGAAUUCCGCGUGUAGCAGUGAAAUGCGUAGAUAUGCGGAGGAACACCGUGUGGCGAGCGAGCCUCCUGGGAUAACACUGACGCUCAUGCGAAAGCGUGGGGGAGCAAACAAGAGUUAGAAUACCUGGUAGUCCACGCCCUAAACAACGAUGUCAACUAGCUGUUGGGGCCUUCGGGCCUUGGUAGCGCAGCUAACGCGUGAAGUUGACCGCCUGGGGAAUACGGUCGCAAGAUUAAAACUCAAAGGAAUUGACGGGACCCAGCAAGCAGUGGAUGAUGUGAGUUAAUUCGAUGCAACGCGAAAAACCUUACCUACCCUUGACUUGACCAAUGCUGGAAUCCCGAGAGAUUUGGCAGAGUGCUCAUCGGGAGGACGGACACUGGGUGCUGCAUGGCUGUCGUCAGCUCGUGUCGUGAGAUGUUGGGUUAGAGUCCUGGCGCAGGCGCAACCCUUGUCAUUAGUUGCUACGAAAGGGCACUCUAAUGAGACUGCCGGUGACAAACCGGAGGAAGGUGGGGAUGACGUCAAGUCCUCGUACAGCUUAUGGGUAGGGCUUCACACGUCAUACAAUGGUCGGGACAGAGGGUCGCCAACCCGCGAGGAGCCAAUCCCAGGAAGCCCGAUCGUAGUCCGGAUCGCAGUCUGCAACUCGACUGCGUGAAGUCGGAAUCGCUAGUAAUCAUGGGAUCAGCAUGUCGCGGUGAAUACGUUCAGGUCUUGUACACACCGCCCCGUCACACCAUGGGAGUGGGUUUUACCAGAAGUAGUUAGCCUAACCGUAAGGAGGGCGAUUACCACGGUAGGAUUCAUGACUGGGGUGAAGUCGUAACAAAGUCG
rnacentral:rRNA from 1 species